rnacentral:rRNA from 1 species
GUCGAGGAUCUUCGGCAAUGGGCGAAAGCCUGACCGAGCGACGCCGCGUGUGCGAUGAAGGCCUUCGGGUUGUAAAGCACUGUCGUGGGGGAGAAAGCCCGCAAGGGUCGAUCGACCUCAGGAGGAAGCUCGGGCUAAGUUCGUGCCAGCAGCCGCGGUAAGACGAACCGAGCGAACGUUAUUCGGAAUCACUGGGCUUAAAGGGCGCGUAGGCGGGCCAUCAAGUCAGGGGUGAAAGCCUCCAGCUCAACUGGAGAAGUGCCUCUGAUACUGGUGGUCUCGAGGGAGGUAGGGGCGUGCGGAACUUCCGGUGGAGCGGUGAAAUGCGUAGAUAUCGGAAGGAACACCGGUGGCGAAAGCGGCGCGCUGGACCUCUUCUGACGCUGAGGCGCGAAAGCCAGGGGAGCGAACGGGAUUAGAAACCCUUGUAGUCC